rnacentral:lncRNA from 1 species
CUCGCCCGCCGCCCCUCCGCUGGAGCUGGGCCCCGCCGCGCUCCGCUCAGCCCUCGGCCCGCCCCGCCAAGGGUUAAGCCGCAGGGCUGGCGGCGAUGGAAGCCCUGUCAGCGGGGAAACACCCCGGCUGCCCCCCGCUCCGCCCCGCGCCCGCCGCCCCGGGGAGCCGCCGAGCACCGGGGGGGGGUGGGGGGUGCCCGGAAUCCUCCCCGCGGCCCGACCCGCUGCGCCGGAGCCCGCUGACACCCCGCCUGCCUUCGCUCCGGCCCGCACCGGGCCCCGUGCGGGACUCCGGCCGCGAGAGCCCGGCGCCGCGCUGCCAUCGCCCGGGCGGGCGGCGGGAGCGUCCCCUCCCCGAGCCCGCACAAUGGCCCCCCCGCCCCGGUGACACCGGAGCCCCGCGGAUGGCGGCGGGGGGGUGGGGGGGGGCGCUUUGUGCGGGGAAUCCCGCAAAAUUGACAAAACACACACAAAAAAAUAUCUCCAGCGGGGGAGAGCGAUGGGAGCCGGGUAGAGUGGCUCCUCCUCCUGCUCCUGCUCUCCAAAAAGGCCUGUUGGAAAACUGCACACGGCGGCGGCUCCGCGCCCCGCGCUCCCCGGCGAGAAACGGCGGCGAAGGGCGGCAGGAGCGCGGCGGACGCGGGGGGAAAGGCCCGAUGCCUUUGUGUUACCUGCCGUGGAACCAGUCCUUGCAGGCGUCGCACUCGAUCAUGAAGCGGGUUACGUCGUAGGGCAGCCUACAGAUGCAAUAGACGGGCACCGUCGCCAUGUUAGCUCCCUCCCGAGCGCGGCGGGGCGCCCGGCGGAGCGGGGCUGGCGGCGGCUGCUGCGCGGGGCCGCCUCGGCUGCUGCUCCCGCCGAGCGCCGGCGAGGGCGCCGAGCCCGGGCGCGGGGGGAAGGAGGAAAAGGGGGGGCUGGAGAGUGGGAGGAGGGGGAGAAAACAAAAUAAAGAGGGAAAAAAAAAUAUCAAAUAAUGCAGUUACGGCUCCUCAAGGGCGGGCGAGCGCUGUCAGGAAAACAACAAUGCUGCCGGGCUCCCCAAAGUUUGGCUGCAUGGCUCCUUCGGCUCCGCCAGCGCCGGCCGGACCGGGGCUUUUUGUUGUUGUUGUUGUUAAAUGAUUAUUAUUCAAAAUGUUUGGCUAAAUGCGCUCUGUGGCGUGCCCCCUGGUGACAGUACAGUACCGAGCCUCCUCAUAAACACUCCGAAAU